rnacentral:lncRNA from 1 species
CAUUGGGCCAUUCCAGUUAAUAUCUGCUAAAGGGGGAUGAAUGGUCCUUUCUGAGGGGUGUAAAAUUUAUACAUCUUAGGGGUGAAAUUUUGGGUUCUUUCAUCUGACACGUACACUUAUACGCAAAAAUUUCAGAGGGUCUUGCAGCAGUAAAUAAUAAAAAAUAAUUACAUCUUAGGGGUUACAACAAAUACCUAUUUCAGAUCGUACGGGUGCUUUGGAAUGUAGACAGUUUCGUAUCAUGCAUUAUCUGGUAUUGUAUUUAAAAUUCUGAUGGGUACAAUCCUUGCAGUAAAACAUUCUGAUAGGUCAUUUUUCCCAUGAAAGCCCAUCCACCCAAUAUGAACAGAAACUCUACAUCUGAUAGGUCUUAAUUUAUAGAUCUGAUAGGUAGUUUUUCAUGAUGUUUUUUCUGAUAGGUAUGAAAAAAAUCUCCCCAUCCAUCCCCACCUGUCAGAAAUUAACUGGAAUGGCCCAUUACU